rnacentral:rRNA from 1 species
UACGUAGGGGACAAGCGUUGUCCGGAAUUAUUGGGCGUAAAGAGCUCGUAGGCGGUCUGUUGCGUCGGCUGUGAAAACCCGGGGCUCAACUCCGGGCCUGCAGCCGAUACGGGCAGACUAGAGUUCGGCAGGGGAGACUGGAAUUCCUGGUGUAGCGGUGAAAUGCGCAGAUAUCAGGAGGAACACCGGUGGCGAAGGCGGGUCUCUGGGCCGAUACUGACGCUGAGGAGCGAAAGCGUGGGGAGCGAACAGG